rnacentral:rRNA from 1 species
CAUGUGGUGACUGGUUCAUUCCAGUCUCCAAAGCCGCAAGGCGCUUCGGGAGGGGCCUGCGUCCGAUUAGCUCGUUGGUGGGGUAACGGCUCACCAAGGCGACGAUCGGUAGGUGGUCUGAGAGGACGAUCACCCAGACUGGGACUGAGACACGGCCCAGACUCCUACGGGAGGCAGCAGUCGGGAAUUUUGCUCAAUGGGCGAAAGCCUGAAGCAGCAACGCCGCGUGAGGGAUGACGGCCUUCGGGUUGUAAACCUCUUUUCUCAGGGACGAUAAUGACGGUACCUGAGGAAUAAGCCACGGCUAACUACGUGCCAGCAGCCGCGGUAAUACGUAGGUGGCGAGCGUUAUCCGGAUUUACUGGGCGUAAAGAGCGCGCAGGCGGUCGUGCAAGUCGGAUGUGAAAGCCCCCGGCUUCAACUGGGGAAAGUCAUUCGAUACUGCUCGACUUUGAA